GUGCUUGCUUCGGCAGCACAGAUACUGAAAUCGCAAUGAUACAGAGAAGAUUAGCAUGGCCCUGUGCUUACACACAAAUGACAGGCAAAUUCCUGAAGUGUUCCAUAUUUAA